rnacentral:rRNA from 1 species
CACAAAUUGCCGGGUGCUAUACAUGCAGUCGAGCGGACAGAUGGGAGCUUGCUCCCUGAUGUUAGCGGCGGACGGGUGAGUAACACGUGGGUAACCUGCCUGUAAGACUGGGAUAACUCCGGGAAACCGGGGCUAAUACCGGAUGGUUGUCUGAACCGCAUGGUUCAGACAUAAAAGGUGGCUUCGGCUACCACUUACAGAUGGACCCGCGGCGCAUUAGCUAGUUGGUGAGGUAACGGCUCACCAAGGCGACGAUGCGUAGCCGACCUGAGAGGGUGAUCGGCCACACUGGGACUGAGACACGGCCCAGACUCCUACGGGAGGCAGCAGUAGGGAAUCUUCCGCAAUGGACGAAAGUCUGACGGAGCAACGCCGCGUGAGUGAUGAAGGUUUUCGGAUCGUAAAGCUCUGUUGUUAGGGAAGAACAAGUGCCGUUCAAAUAGGGCGGCACCUUGACGGUACCUAACCAGAAAGCCACGGCUAACUACGUGCCAGCAGCCGCGGUAAUACGUAGGUGGCAAGCGUUGUCCGGAAUUAUUGGGCGUAAAGGGCUCGCAGGCGGUUUCUUAAGUCUGAUGUGAAAGCCCCCGGCUCAACCGGGGAGGGUCAUUGGAAACUGGGGAACUUGAGUGCAGAAGAGGAGAGUGGAAUUCCACGUGUAGCGGUGAAAUGCGUAGAGAUGUGGAGGAACACCAGUGGCGAAGGCGACUCUCUGGUCUGUAACUGACGCUGAGGAGCGAAAGCGUGGGGAGCGAACAGGAUUAGAUACCCUGGUAGUCCACGCCGUAAACGAUGAGUGC